rnacentral:rRNA from 1 species
GUGGGGAAUUUUGGACAAUGGGCGAAAGCCUGAUCCAGCCAUGCCGCGUGCAGGAUGAAGGCCUUCGGGUUGUAAACUGCUUUUGUACGGAACGAAAAGACUCCUUCUAAUAAAGGGGGUCCAUGACGGUACCGUAAGAAUAAGCACCGGCUAACUACGUGCCAGCAGCCGCGGUAAUACGUAGGGUGCAAGCGUUAAUCGGAAUUACUGGGCGUAAAGCGUGCGCAGGCGGUUAUAUAAGACAGAUGUGAAAUCCCCGGGCUCAACCUGGGAACUGGAUUUGUGACUGUAUAGCUAGAGUACGGUAGAGGGGGAUGGAAUUCCGCGUGUAGCAGUGAAAUGCGUAGAUAUGCGGAGGAACACCGAUGGCGAAGGCAAUCCCCUGGACCUGUACUGACGCUCAUGCACGAAAGCGUGGGGAGCAAACAGGAUUAGAUACCCCGGUAGUCC